AUUUUUUCCUGGAGGUCUUGCUUUGGUGAAGCUCUGUCCUACAAACUUAGAAUCUUCUCAUAGGGGAGUAUCCAGAACAUUGCUGAACAUCCCCUAUCACAUCGCAUCAUUCAGAACUACAUGUCCUGUCUAGUAUCAUCCGGUACUCUACAUCAAGAAGGGUACAUUGAAAUAAAGAGGGAGAAGAAAAAAGUCUACCGUGUCCCUUCAUUCUUCUGCCUUCUCACAGAGGGGAGAGAGAAGAUGUGGAGCUCCUGGAGGUGUCAGAUGUUGCCUGGUUUCUCUAACGUGGUUCUGAUCUUUAUGGUUAUAAUGUUGGCUUCUUAUGCUGCAAAGUACCCAUGAGAAUUAGUCUCAAAAUAGGCAUCACUGACAUGGAUAACACUAAGAAAUCUUUCCAAGUGCUCUUACCACUACGUAGGUGAAAUACUUCUAUGCUGAGCCAGCCUGUGUUUGCGGUUGUAUACUGCGACUGGCGUGUUGCAGCUGAUUACUGGCUUGCAAAAUGUGAUGAAAUCUGAAAGAGAAAAGGUGACAUUUGCCAUUGUGUGGACAGGUUAUGCUUGGAUUAUAGUUAAUUUUUUGAUUUCUCUUUCCUGCUGACGAUGCGUUUGUGCUUUUUUCAAUUUUUUUUUUUUGCUAGGCCUUCUUCCCAAAUCACAGCCUCUUUAAUGAACAUGGGUUGCAUAAUGUAUAAAGGCAGUGAGAUAAUGCUGUUAGAUAAAUUGCUGUACUGCUGUUUUAUUUCUGAUGGAAUUACCAUAUUUACAUGCAAUAACUCAAUGUUUUAGGAAAACCUUUCCUGUGAACAGAUAGUUUUGAGCAUUGAGUUACAUUAACUGAAAUAAACUGACUCCCAAAAGUACUUUCCUUCUGCAGUUCUAAUAGAUAAACCAAAAUACCAUAUUGCUUAUGCCACAUGCUUCAUUGAGCAGUCUUACCUCCUAUGUAUUUCCAUUUUGAGUGUCAUUUGGGCCAUUCAUACUUAGAACAACAGCAUUAGUCUGGAUAUUAAUAAAUGUGCUUGAAUUAUACAAGAAGGAAUGAAUCAAAUUUCCUCGAGGUUUUUAGAAAACAGUUACCAUUCUGAAUUAUACAGCAAGGAGUGAAUCAACUUUUUUGGCGGGGUACAGAAGACAGUUAAUAUUUGUAAGUCAAUCCGAAUCAGGUAAAUGUUUAAAACAACAAUGCUAGAGUUUGAAUUAUAACUUAUUUUUAUGCUUCACACCUUGUUCUGGCUUUCUGUUUAAUCAGAAAACAGAGACAGCCGUUCAUUAUCUAUUUUUUAAGGUUUUUGUAAGUUUUCCCUUUAAUCCUUCAGCAAUUGGAUUAGUGCUCAUUCUGCUUCACUAAGUAAACUUUCAUACAGCUGAAAUUGUCAGUGAAGUAGGAAGUACAGAUUUGCAGCUAUGAGGUGAAAAGAGAGCCCCAGUAGUGAGCCAUGCUCAUUUUAAUUUGGCAUUCCUCGAGUCUUAUCUGUAUACAU
ensembl:lncRNA